rnacentral:misc_RNA from 1 species
UUACGUCGCACAGUCAGACAGA